UAAUAAAUUUUCUUACUCAGGAAAUCGCAAGUGUAACAUUUCAAAUAUCUGUGUAAUAGGUAGGCGUCACCUUACGUCUUAGGUAAAUUGGCAGCUAACCAAUUAUACUAAUGUGAAAUACUCGUAACAUCCUACACAGACAUUUGUGUUACUGUUUUACGUUGUCUGCGAGAAGAAUAAUAUCGAAAGAUGUGCAAUCAGCAAAAUAUAUCCACAAAGAGAAAAGAAAACGAAAUCUACUGGCGAUGGCUGCGCAGAAUUUAUGUCCCUUUGUAGAUAAACCCGACCAGAUGACAGAACAAGAGAAUACUAAUAAUAACAAAAAGAGAAUAUGGGACCCAAGGUCGCUGCAUCUUUUUUAAGAAAUAAUCACGAUCGUAAAAAGAUUCUGCAUAAAACAGUUCCAUGUCGAGUACAAUGCAAGGAUACGCGAAUCACUGCAGAUAUUUUACUGUCAAACCAGUACCAAUGUAAUUGAUGGCCAUCGUGGGUGUGUCUGUGCAUACUUCUUCAGACAGCUGUACUUAAACAC